CCUACGGGGUGCACCAGUGGGGAAUAUAGCACAAUGGGCGCAAGCCUGAUGCGGCCAUGCCGCGUGUAUGAAGAAGGCCUUCGGGUUGUAAAGUACUUUCAGCGGGGAGGAAGGUGUUGUGGUUAAUAACUGCAGCAAUUGACGUUACCCGCAGAAGAAGCACCGGCUAACUCCGUGCCAGCAGCCGCGGUAAUACGGAGGGUGCAAGCGUUAAUCGGAAUUACUGGGCGUAAAGCACACGCAGGCGGUCUGUCAAGUCGGAUGUGAAAUCCCCGGGCUCAACCUGGGAACUGCAUUCGAAACUGGCAGGCUAGAGUCUUGUAGAGGGGGGUAGAAUUCCAGGUGUAGCGGUGAAAUGCGCAGAGAUCUGGAGGAAUACUGGUGGCGAAGGCGGCCCACUGGACAAAGACUGACGCUCAGGUGCGAGAGCGUGGGGAGCAAACAGGAUUAGAUACCCCUGUAGUC
rnacentral:rRNA from 1 species